rnacentral:rRNA from 1 species
ACACUCCUGCGGGAGGCAGCAGUGGGGAAUAUUGGACAAUGGGCGCAAGCCUGAUCCAGCCAUGCCGCGUGAGUGAUGAAGGCCCUAGGGUUGUAAAGCUCUUUCACCGGUGAAGAUAAUGACGGUAACCGGAGAAGAAGCCCCGGCUAACUUCGUGCCAGCAGCCGCGGUAAUACGAAGGGGGCUAGCGUUGUUCGGAUUUACUGGGCGUAAAGCGCACGUAGGCGGACUAUUAAGUCAGGGGUGAAAUCCCGGGGCUCAACCCCGGAACUGCCUUUGAUACUGGUAGUCUUGAGUUCGAGAGGGGUGAGUGGAAUUCCGAGUGUAGAGGUGAAAUUCGUAGAUAUUCGGAGGAACACCAGUGGCGAAGGCGGCUCACUGGCUCGAUACUGACGCUGAGGUGCGAAAGCGUGGGGAGCAAACAGGAUUAGAUACCCUAGUAGUCCCA